rnacentral:rRNA from 1 species
GACGAACGCUGGCGGCGUGCUUAACACAUGCAAGUCGAACGGAAAGGCCCUGCUUGCAGGGUACUCGAGUGGCGAACGGGUGAGUAACACGUGGGUGAUCUGCCCUGCACUUCGGGAUAAGCCUGGGAAACUGGGUCUAAUACCGGAUAUGACCUUCCAUGUAGUGUGGGGGGUGGAAAGAUUUAUCGGUGUGGGAUGAGCCUGCGGCCUAUCAGCUUGUUGGUGGGGUAAUGGCCUACCAAGGCGUCGACGGGUAGCCGGCCUGAGAGGGUGGACGGCCACAUUGGGACUGAGAUACGGCCCAGACUCCUACGGGAGGCAGCAGUGGGGAAUAUUGCACAAUGGGCGGAAGCCUGAUGCAGCGACGCCGCGUGGGGGAUGACGGCCUUCGGGUUGUAAACCUCUUUCGACAGGGACGAAGCUUCGGUGACGGUACCUGUAUAAGAAGCACCGGCUAACUACGUG